rnacentral:rRNA from 1 species
AGCGGCGGACGGGUUAGUAACGCGUGGGAAGAACCCUUUUCUACGGAAUAGCCUCGGGAAACUGAGAGUAAUACCGAAUAAGCCCUUCGGGGGAAAGAUUUAUCGGGAAAGGAUCGGCCCGCGUUAGAUUAGAUAGUUGGUGGGGUAAUGGCCUACCAAGUCUACGAUCUAUAGCUGGUUUUAGAGGAUGAUCAGCAACACUGGGACUGAGACACGGCCCAGACUCCUACGGGAGGCAGCAGUGGGGAAUCUUAGACAAUGGGCGCAAGCCUGAUCUAGCCAUGCCGCGUGUGUGAUGAAGGCCUUAGGGUCGUAAAGCACUUUCGCCAGGGAUGAUAAUGACAGUACCUGGUAAAGAAACCCCGGCUAACUCCGUGCCAGCAGCCGCGGUAAUACGGAGGUUGUUAUUUUUGUUCGGAAUUACUGGGCGUAAAGCGUACGUAGGCGGAUCAGACAGUAGGGGGUGAAAUCCCGAGGCUCAACCUCGGAACUGCCUCCUAAACUCCUGGUCUUGAGUUCGAGAGAGGUGAGUGGAAUUCCAAGUGUAGAGGUGAAAUUCGUAGAUAUUUGGAGGAACACCAGUGGCGAAAGCGGCUCACUGGCUCGAUACUGACGCUGAGGUACGAAAGUGUGGGGAGCAAACAGGAUUAGAUACCCUGGUAGUCCACACCCU